ensembl:lncRNA
UCCAGAUGUUCAGGUUCCUCCUGCAGAUCAACCUCCAGAUGUUCAGGUUCCUCCUCCAGAUGUUCAGAUUCCUCCUCCAGAUGUUCAGAUUCCUCCUGUAGAUCAACCUCCCGAUGUUCAGGUUCCUCCUGUAGAUCAACCUCCAGAUGUUCAGGUUCCUCCUCCAGAUGUUCAGGUUCCUCCUCCAGAUGUUCAGAUUCCUCCUGUAGAUCAACCUCCAGAUGUUCAGAUUCCUCCUCCAGAUGUUCAGGUUCCUCCUGCAGAUCAACCUCCAGAUGUUCAGGUUCCUCCUCCAGAUGUUCAGAUUCCUCCU